AACCUGUACCUGCACCUCCUCUGGGAGACAAGCCCAAGCUCUUUGUGUCCUUUCACGCAGAGGACUAACCUGGAAACUCACCAUGAAGUUUAGACUGAACUGGAUUUUCCUUUUGACUAUUUUCCAAGGUGUCCAGUGUGAUGUGCAGCUGGUGGAGUCUGGGGGAGAUGUGAGACAGCCUGGGGGCUCUCUGAGUCUCUCCUGCAAAGUUUCUGGAGUUACUAUCAGCGGUUACUACUUCGGUUGGGUCCGCCAGGCUCCAGGGAAGGGACUGGAAUGGGUUGCAAGCAUUUAUAGUACUAGUAGUAUAUACUAUGCAGACUCUGUGAAAGGUCGAUUCACCAUCUCCAGAGAUGAUGGCAACAACAUGAUAUCUCUACAGAUGACUUCCCUUAAGACUGAGGAUACAGCUGUGUAUUACUGUGCAAGAGACACAGUGAGGAAAAGGAAUGUGAGACCAGACAAAAACUUCCCCUACCAGGAAGUGAGACAUCAGUCAGGCAAGAGGGGGAUUGAGCUCAUGAUGCACAGAGUACAAGAUGCCUAGAUGCACUAACAGGUGUAGAGUGAAUCUGAACCGUUU